rnacentral:rRNA from 1 species
CGGGUGAGUAACGCGUGGGUAAUCUGCCUUAAAGUGGGGGAUAACUAGUCGAAAGAUUAGCUAAUACCGCAUAAGACCACAGGAUCUACGGAUCUAGGGGUAAAAGGUUUUUCGCUUUAAGAUGAGCCCGCGUGAGAUUAUCUAGUUGGUGAGGUAAUGGCUCACCAAGGCAACGAUCUCUAGCUGGUCUGAGAGGAUGAUCAGCCACACUGGAACUGAGACACGGUCCAG